rnacentral:tRNA from 1 species
GCGGCUGUGGUGAAGUGGUUAACACAUCGGAUUGUGGUUCCGACAUUCGUGGGUUCGAUCCCCAUCAGCCGCCCCA